UAAAUGUCUACCUAUAUAUCAGUGUGCUUAAAGACAACAGUAAACAAUUGCCUAGUCUUUUUGCAACCUUGCAUUCUAUUUUUGGUUAAACAUCGGUGUUCCAAUUUAUUUUCUGUUGUUGAAUGUUACGUAUUCUUACGUUGAGUUUCGUUUGUUUAUAUAUCGAAUAUAUGCAUUCGAUUUAUCUCCCUUAUAUUGUUAAAAACAAUCGUUAAAUCUAAUUUGCAAUUCAUUUGAUUGAUUGUUGAAUGUUUAACGUUCUGUUGCAAGUAUUCCAUGCUUU
rnacentral:lncRNA from 1 species